rnacentral:lncRNA from 1 species
AUAAGGACGUUUUGAAAACCCUGAUCUCAGAAUGCUUUCUCUCAGUGUUAUGAGAGCGUAUAUCAGUGAGAACGCUCCCCGGUAGCUGCUCACCCACAGGUCCAGAUGUGAUGCGCAGGAUCCGGGGAAGGAGUUUCUCCAUCAGGCCUCACUGCAGCUGUACCUGUAGCUCCAUCUUCUCUCUGCAUCUCAACCCUGGAGGAAAUCUGCUAACUUUGUUUCUAAAAGUGGCAUCGUGAAGAAAGUUCUGCUCAGCAGGUUGCCAUGACAACUGUUUCCAAGAGCGAGGCAGAGGCUCAGCGAGAUGCAGAAGAUGAAGCGUUCAGAGGGCAGGUGAGCGAAAACCAGGCCUGUCAGGAGAUGGAAACUCUGGAACUGUGGUUCACAGAUCACACAGAUUGAUGUUGCAUCUUCAAG